rnacentral:lncRNA from 10 species
GCAAAACGCAGGACUGACGGCUUUCCCGGCCCACUAGCUCCUCUGCUGGCUCCCAGCUGUAAGGAGUGGAUGCCGUGGUCUCCGCAUCCAGCCGGCACGUGCUGCAGCAGCGAGCUCUUUGUUUUCCAUCAUUCCCUGGCCUCCGCGUGGAUGCAUUUCAGAGUCACGGGGUUCUGCUUGGUCACACCUGGUCUCAACCUUCUCUCAACACGUCCAACCCUGUCUCGAGGACAUGAAGUCCUUGGGGUCCCUGCCUGCCCAUCUCCCAACUGAUGAUUAACUGUAGCUGACAACCCAGCGUUACAUAAGAGGAUUAUGAAACUCUGUUAACAGGGAGAUCCCUGAGGAAGUUGCAAGACCCUAAUGAAGAAGCGGCUGUAUCAUAUCACCUGCCAGAUGGGGCUUAGGCAGCCUCCCAGAGCUUCCUACACCGAAGAAUCACACAGGAGCAGCAGAGCCAUCCCUGAGUGCCCAUGGGUAGCAUAGUAGCGGGAGAAGGAAACACAAGCUCUUGAAUUGCUCACUGAGCACAGGGUUGAGCAUGGGGUGCCCUGGCAGUUGCCUGCCUAACCAGAUGACAUGACAUCCCAUCCACUGUGCCUCGACACCAGGUAGGCUUCCCAUUUCUUAGUCACAAAACUGGGGGAAAGUGGGUGGAGGAGUAAAUCCCAAACCUAGUGACCCUGCGUUUUGCCACCCCAGUGGAAUAGUGAGCUACAUAAAAUGAUGAAAAUGUUAUUUCUUUAGUGCCUGUUUUUGUUGACUGAGAUGUAUGAUACAUACCUGGCAUGUACUCAUGGGAGAAAAAUGGGACAUUUAAAUAAGACUGUAAGAUACGGCUGGACAUGGUGGCUCAUGCCUGUAAUCCCAGCACCUGGGGAAGCUGAGGCGG